rnacentral:rRNA from 1 species
UACGAAGGGGGCUAGCGUUGCUCGGAAUUACUGGGCGUAAAGGGCACGUAGGCGGCACUGUUAGUCAGGCGUGAAAUUCCUGGGCUCAACCUGGGGACUGCGCUUGAUACGGCAGAGCUUGAGGAUGGAAGAGGGUCGCGGAAUUCCCAGUGUAGAGGUGAAAUCCGUAGAUAUUGGGAAGAACACCGGUGGCGAAGGCGGCGACCUGGUCCAUUACUGACGCUGAGGCGCGACAGCGUGGGGAGCAAACAGG